rnacentral:rRNA from 1 species
GGGGAAUAUUGCACAAUGGGGGAAACCCUGAUGCAGCCAUGCCGCGUGUGUGAAGAAGGCCUUCGGGUUGUAAAGCACUUUCAGCGAGGAGGAAAGGUUGAUGCCUAAUACGCAUCAGCUGUGACGUUACUCGCAGAAGAAGCACCGGCUAACUCCGUGCCAGCAGCCGCGGUAAUACGGAGGGUGCAAGCGUUAAUCGGAAUUACUGGGCGUAAAGCGCACGCAGGCGGUUGGAUAAGUUAGAUGUGAAAGCCCCGGGCUCAACCUGGGAACUGCAUUUAAAACUGUCCAGCUAGAGUCUUGUAGAGGGGGGUAGAAUUCCAGGUGUAGCGGUGAAAUGCGUAGAGAUCUGGAGGAAUACCGGUGGCGAAGGCGGCCCCCUGGACAAAGACUGACGCUCAGGUGCGAAAGCGUGGGGAGCAAAC